rnacentral:tRNA from 1 species
AGUAUAGCUCAGUGGUAGACUGUGUGCUUGGCAUGCACGAGGUCCUGGGUUCAAAAGCCCCAGUACU